GACAGAGGCCUCGAGCGUUAGGCGGAAUCACUGGGCUUAAAGCGGGUGUAGGCGGAUCGUUAAGUGCCUUGUGAAAUCCCACGGCUCAACCGUGGAACGGCUGGGUAUACUGGCGGUCUUGGGCCAUUCAGGGGCGACUGGAACAAGCGGUGGAGCGGUGAAAUGCGUAGAUAUCGCUUGGAACGCCGAAGGUGAAAACAGGUCGCUGGGGAUGUGCCGACGCUGAGACACGAAAGCCAGGGGAGCAAACGGG
rnacentral:rRNA from 1 species